GACAGAGGGUGCAAGCGUUGCUCGGAAUCACUGGGCGUAAAGGGCGCGUAGGCGGGAUGGCAAGUCAGUCGUGAAAUCUCUCGGCUCAACCGAGAAACGUCGGCUGAUACUGCCGUUCUUGAGGGAUGCAGAGGAGACUGGAAUUCCCGGUGUAGCGGUGAAAUGUGUAGAGAUCGGGAGGAACACCGGUGGCGAAGGCGGGUCUCUGGGCAUUUCCUGACGCUGAGGCGCGGAAGCGUGGGGAGCAAACGGG
rnacentral:rRNA from 1 species